GGCUCUUCGAGCGAUUCUCGAAGCAGCAAAGGGGUGCAUGGCAAGAUGGCAAAAAACUCCCACAGCGAUACCGAGAGGGUUGAGAAGUACAAGUGGGCGGAUGUGAAGAAGAUGGACACAGAAGGCGAUGAGGACGAGCGAGACGAGCGCAACUUCCGGACUCGCAACAUCGAUGCCCUGCACGCCAUCCCGUGGGAUCAGCGGCAGCAGCUACCCAUGAGCGGCUUCGGCACACGCUUCUUUGCCUUACUGAGCACGCCGCGUUUUUGGGAGAAGCUUGACUGGACAGUGCGUGCUUCCCUUCUGACCGUGCUUCCCACCAUGGUGCUGUCACUCGAGCCCUCGACGUCGUACAUGUUCCCGUUGCCGUCCUCGUUGGCCUUCAACGCCUUUUGGAUAACGAUGCCGACCUUUGGCAGUGGUCUGCGCGAACUGAUCAUUGCCUUGAAGGGCUUCUCUGUCGGCCUGCUGUUUGUGUGCAUCGUCGUAGGCACGCACACCGGCCCUGCGUGGCUGAGUCUUCUUAUGCUCUUUUUCUUCACCUUCAUCUCCUCCUUUGUGGCGGAGGAGACGAAGAAGACGGCCGCCUACGUGCUGGCGUCGAUGAUCAUGAAAUACAUUGUGGACCCUGCCGAAACGGACUUCCGCUACAUUGGCAAGUACUACGUUGGCCUGCUCAUUGGCCUGGCCUUCGGUACGGCUGGCUUUCUAGUGCCAUUCAUCCGCUGGUCAAGCGACAUUGCUCGGCACUACAUCAAGGCCAUGGGCAACUCACUCAGCAUUGAUCUGCAGGGAACACUGUCGAGCUUCUGGGUGCGCACCCCGCUGGAGCGCGAGCUGAACGUUGUGCGUCUGCGCCAACUAAGGGCCACUGCGGAGAAGUGUCUCAGCAAGAUUGAGACGGCGCUGGAAGAGUCUGAGUACGAGCCGCACACUGGGGCGUACAUGAUGUGCAUGGUGAACCGCUUCAACUUCUGCAAGUCCAUUCACAACAUCCUCGGCUCCUUGAGCCACGUCAUCGAGCUCAUCGCUGACAAUCCGAGCCUGAUCGACACGCCGAUGUGCACGGCCUUUGGAGAGCAGAUUGGCGACCACCUCGCCGUUAUCUCGUCUGCGAUGGACAGCAUGGUGCUGAAGAUUGUCGACUUCGAGCGCAUUGUGACGCCGCAGGAGAUCCAGUUUUUCCGAGAAGCGCGCGAGCGCUUCCAGGAUGCGCUGUCGCGUGUUCGAGAGGAUGUCAUCUUGACGAAUGAGAACUACCAGACGGACGAGUCCGACGUCCUUCUUGGUUUCUUCAUGUUCAGCCUGGACGAGAUGUGCGAGGUGAUUAGCCAGUUCGACGAGACGGCGCACCCGCCCAGCAGGCUCUUGAAUGCGAUGCUGUUCCCGGUGCGAGACGUGAAGAGCGUCAUUGCUGCCUUUCGGAAUUUGGCUCUCACGAUUGUGCGGCGCCGUACGAUUCCGCGUCGCAUGAAGGAAGCAAUCAAACUCUCCCUGUGCAUGGUGGUACCCAGCAUCUUUCAGGUGUACGCAUUGGACAACAGCUCGGUGAGCCCAGCGGCCGGUGCCGCGGUGAUUGCGCUCAUCUACAACCCCACCGGCUCCGAGAGCUUCCACUACGCCUCUGGGCGUCUGCUGGGCACGGUACUCGGCUCGAUCGGCGCGCUGCUCUCUGUGCAAGUUGCGCGUGGUCAGUUGUGGGUGCUGUACAUCUUCAUCGUUAUCCUGUCUUUCAUUGGCGCGUACGUGCAGGCGGCCCCGGGCUUCUACGCACUUGGCAACGCGAUCGUCAGCAGCACGAUUUCCGUCUGCACCCAGUACCAGGACGAGAAUGCCGCAAUGGUGCGUAUCCAGCAGAACUGCUUCGCCAUUUUGAUGUACUUUGUGAUUGCGUGCGUUCUGUGGCCGAUGCAGGCGCGCACGAAGGUGAAGAUGAGUCUGAACGUCACGCUGCGGUGCACGAGAGAGGCCGUCACGCGCAUGCUGCGCAAUCUCGACAUGCCGUACGACGCAAACGAAGUCACCGCCGACGUCUCGGCGCUGCUCAUUGAGAUGAACAAGAAGGUUCGGACGCAGUCCCGCUUCAUCCCUGGAGCGGUGGAGGAGCCGACAAUGGGCUCCGUCGAGUACCCGGAGGACUCGUGGAAGCGCAUCGUGGAGGCGGAGAAGAAGUUGUGCUUGGCGCUGUCGAUGAUGUGCUUCGCCUACAACACCUUCAUGUCCAGCCGAGCGGACCCAACCACCGAGUUGUCGGUACACUGGGUGGUGCUGCACCGCAUCGCCCCGCAUGCGCAGGACCUGUCCGACCUCAUCUAUGCCUCCAUCGACCUCUAUCUUCUCUCGCUCUCCAAGAUGACGAUCGUGCCAACAGCGCACCUGACACGGCUUCGGGUGGGCAUGGUAGACGCCAAUCAGGCCAUCCUCGACACCUACAUGUCUACCAUCUUCCGCAAGGUGGCUGGCGAGCAGGACACGGACGAGGGCGACAUGUACUCCAGCAGCUCCUACAUGGACGACGACGAGCACGACAACGACAGCAAUGCCGGGUACAGAGGCGGAGAGCAUGGCAGCAGCGGCGGGCCGCACCUCCCGCCGAGUAGAAGAGGGCGCUCUUACACGGACAAAGCCGAUGGCGGCGUUGGCUCAACUGCGAGCGUCGACUGCAAGGCGGCUGCGGUGCACGCCGCCAACAGGCCGAGUGAGAGGGAGGGUAAUGAGGCCAAGGCCGGUAACGAUGACGAUUCCUCCGCAUCCCCGACACCACGGCAGCAGCGACGGCGAGUCGACUGUGACCACGGACACCGCCGUGGGAACCACAGCUCUGGGGACUCUUCGGGCUCGUCUUCCUCCGAGAAUGGCGAACACGACGACAACGUCAACGCGCACCCACACAAGAAGGCGACGGGAAAGGGUGGCGACGGCAAAAAGAAGAUGGGGUACCUCGGCUACGAGUUGACGGCGGAGGAGGCUGCGGCGCUGCGCGCCUUUGUAGCGAACCGCGUGAGCAACGCAACCUUUAGCACCAACAAGUCUAUGGUGGUCAACAACUCGACCUUCAGUGGCCGGGUCGCGGGCGGGGCUCCUACCGCUGCUGCCGCUGCUGCUGCUGCUGCGUUGGCCACGAGGGCCUCGAUUGCGAUGCCGGGGUCUCUUCCGCAGGGCAACAACGACGCCCGCCUUAUGGCUGUCACAGGUGGCGACGACGGGCUGGCUGCGGCGCUGCGCAAGAAGCACAAGGUGGUGGUGAGGCGCGGGAGGGACGAGGAGAACGACGGUGACGCGGAGGAAGCGGGGCCGGAGGGGCCGCAUAAUGAGGGCAGGGCUAAAAGCGGCCGCAACGACGUCGACAACGUUCCCGGAAUCUUCAAUACAUCCUUCUUGAACAACUCCUUCAUGAACACAUCCUUGCUAGGCAGCCUUUUUGCGAAGCGGACGAAGGAGCUGCGCGACCUUGACGCGGCGGAGAUGCCGCAGCUCCAUGCAGGGCGGUCGCGCGCGUCGAGUGAGUCGAGCACCACCUCGGCUCGCUCGCAACGAGACGGUAAGAAAAAGAAGCAGCAGCGGCGUCACCUCGGCAAACGGCGCGAGGCGAAAGACAGCGACAGUGGCGAUGAGGGCAUCAGACAGCACAGCACCCCGCUCACCUCACCGACCCCCCACCCUCGCGCCAGUAGCGUGGGGAGCGAGUUCAGCGACAUCGAAGACAAUCCGAGGCCGCGCAAUCAGAGGCGCUCCUCCGGAAAGGUACUUCGCUCGAGCGGGACCGUAGCGGUGGCCGAAAACGCCAAGGUGGAUGAGCGUCCACCGAUGGCGCACUCGACGCCAGAGGUGCUGCCUGCCGCCGACAACUUAGCAACGAACCCACUAGGCGAGGAUGGUGCCGGGCGUGAGGGUGCCACCGGUGGACAGCGCAAUCUGCCGCCCAUGUCCCAGUCUGCGCCGAUGACCUCCGGUCGCGGGUCUGCUGCGGAGACCUUUGCAGUGCUGAGGAAGGAGGGCAGCGUCGAGGCAAGCCGGCAGCAAGCGAGCAGCUUGACAGCCGGGCAGCUUUGCGGGGUUGCGGCGGCCAGCAUGGUUAGCUUCAGUGGCGACGAUGCGGCCGUGCUCGGGGCAUCACUCAACAACACCUGCAGCGCCGCCACCACCGUAUCUCACCACCCCCCGCAGCCUCUUGCUCUGGCACCGGGCAGCAGCAGCGGGAGCCCAGAGGAUCACAAGGGCUCGCCGCCGCGCGCGUGCAGCAGCGCUGCGGAGGGAAAGAAGUGCGACAACCGCGACAGCAAUACGCGGAGGGAGGUGCCUGACAAGGACGGCGAGAUGACGCACGGCAACACCGAGAAGCAGCAGCCGCACGACAGGAGCGGCGACACCCCGGGCAUGGACGUAGGAGCUUCAGGCAAGCCAGGGGAGGUUCAGAGAGACGCAACUAGUGCUGUGGACAAGGACACGCAUCCGCUUGCCGACAAUGCCUCCCUCCAUCACGCCCUUGCCUCUUUCGGCAGCCGCCCCUCGAGCAAGCUGCGGCGCCGUUCUCUCGGCAUUGGAGGCAGCAGUCAGUGCGUUCCAGCGAUGCUUGACAGGAGCCACGAUGGCGACGGCACCAGCAUGACCCCAUCGGACGGUGGCGAGAUCUUAAAGGGCCUUUCCUUCUUUAACGCCGCCAGGGGCGAGUUUGUGCUCACCAAUCACGACAUCCACUCCCUCGAGGCCUUCCUGUUUGGCACACGCGCCCUCGUCGUGCACAUCAACGAUCUGCAAAAGGCGCUGCUGGAAAUGCAGCACGCCACGGAUCUGGCAAGGCUGCUGUAAUGUGGCUCGGCAGCUGCGGUCGCCGGCGAGAGCGCGCCCCCAUCGAAGGGCGACAGUUAUCGCGCCGCCUUUCCUGCUCGUUCUUGCUCUCUCUCUCUCUCUCACGACUUUGCCAAUGCGAUCGAGGGAGGAGGUG
rnacentral:misc_RNA from 1 species